UACGUAGGUGGCAAGCGUCGUCCGGAAUUAUUGGGCGUAAAGCGCGCGCAGGUGGUUUCUUAAGUCUGAUGUGAAAGCCCACGGCUCAACCGUGGAGGGUCAUUGGAAACUGGGGAACUUGAGUGCAGGAGAGAAGAGUGGAAUUCCACGUGUAGCGGUGAAAUGCGUAGAGAUGUGGAGGAACACCAGUGGCGAAGGCGACUCUUUGGCCUGUAACUGACACUGAGGCGCGAAAGCGUGGGGAGCAAACAGG
rnacentral:rRNA from 1 species